rnacentral:rRNA from 1 species
AUUGAACGCUGGCGGCAGGCCUAACACAUGCAAGUCGAGCGGAUGAAGGGAGCUUGCUCCUGGAUUCAGCGGCGGACGGGUGAGUAAUGCCUAGGAAUCUGCCUGGUCGUGGGGGAUAACGUCCGGAAACGGGCGCUAAUACCGCAUACGUCCUGAGGGAGAAAGUGGGGGAUCUUCGGACCUCACGCUAUCAGAUGAGCCUAGGUCGGAUUAGCUAGUUGGUGGGGUAAAGGCCUACCAAGGCGACGAUCCGUAACUGGUCUGAGAGGAUGAUCAGUCACACUGGAACUGAGACACGGUCCAGACUCCUACGGGAGGCAGCAGUGGGGAAUAUUGGACAAUGGGUGAAAGCCUGAUCCAGCCAUGCCGCGUGUGUGAAGAAGGUCUUCGGAUUGUAAAGCACUUUAAGUUGGGAGGAAGGGCAGUAAGUUAAUACCUUGCUGUUUUGACGUUACCAACAGAAUAAGCACCGGCUAACUUCGUG